rnacentral:rRNA from 1 species
UACGGAGCAGGCAAGCGUUAUCCGGAAUUAUUGGGCGUAAAGCGUCCGCAGGUGGCUAUUCAAGUCUGCGGUCAAAGACUGGGGCUUAACCCUGGAAAGGCCGUGGAAACUGAAGAGCUAGAGUGCAGUAGGGGUAGAGGGAAUUCCCGGUGUAGCGGUGAAAUGCGUAGAGCUCGGGAAGAACAUCGGUGGCGAAAGCGCUCUGCUGGACUGCAACUGACACUCAGGGACGAAAGCUAGGGGAGCGAAUGGG